UCUUCCCUCGAGUGGUCGGACGUAGAAAUGACGAAGAGGAUAAAGAAGUAGAAAAAAUGGACCAAAGAACUGAACGUUGUUCUAAAAGCUUGCUCGGAAGUUGAUUAUUCUGAAUGCAUGGUUCGUUUUAAACCUUGCGUGACCUGGGUGGCUAGAAGCUACUGCUGAUGCUCGCUUGAUUCCAAAGAGCUACUUCAUACAAAUGCCGAGUCAAGAAGGCUAAGAAAGCACGCACUAUUUCCCCUCAACCGAGUGGACCGGUCGACAUGAAGAAGGGAAGACAGAAGAAACAGAAUGAAGAAAGGGACUGAAUGUCGAGAAUGCUGAUGAAAAAGGACGUGAAGAAGAUUGAGACAAAGAAAGCGAAGCCUGAAGUCUCCUACUUGAUCGCAACGUCCACGGGAAGAUCACUGUGGAACCAAACUCACGAAGACAGCCAGUUUAGAUAGCGACAAAGACAGAAAAGGUUGCUCCGUCACGUCUCUCGCCUGCGUGGAGAUAAAAAGUGGGUCAACGCGCCUCCCACAACACAGUGGACGUCCUGCCUGCCUACGUGAUUUAAUACAACUCAGGAAUUCGUCUUAUAACUAUAGAGAAUGACAAGCGAGGCAAGAAAUUUUGGAGGUAGCCUACGCCACAUAGGUGACGAGCUUGACGAAGAACAAAGAAGACGACGAGAAAACAGGAGAAUGGUCAUUCGAAUUACAACAAUGUUAUUCCAGUUAUUCGGCUUUUAUUAUGUGUUUCUUAGCUUUAUGGUUAAUGCACCCAUAUACAUUUUCAAAAGCAUUUUUAAAGUUGCCCACAAUUGGAGCUUCGAAAUCCGAUCUGACGACGCUCAAAACCCUAGUGGGAAGAGUCGGCAAGGAAGAGGACCGCAAACUUAACCGUCGCGCUUUGGGACAAGCUACAACCGUCAAGGACUUUGAGAAAGUCUAACUUCCUAUUGAAAAAGAUAACGAACACGUUUUUUUUUAUCAAUUUGCCUUCUGGUUAUUCACUUUCACUGUUUGACAGUUUUACGUAAAUAAUGUAAUUUGUGAUGAUCCCUAAUUAACAUAAAUUACUAUGUUUAACUGGGAUACCCUAAAACCUCAAGGGUGACACCGCUGCCUUGGUCGGGGGCCACGUUCUCUUAUUUUUUCCUCCAGCUUUGCUCGGGGUUUUCGUGCCCGGCUUUGGUGCACUUAGCUUUCUCACUUCAUUCUUAGUUUGCGGAUCUUUGUAACAUCUGUUGACAUUUAAAAAGUGGCUCGCUGGCUUGAUUGGCCAACACGCCCAGUUUAAUCACGAUGCGUGUCCGGAUGAGUAGCGGAGGUAAAACAUUUCUGUGUAAUAGGUCUAUGUCGAGUUGACGAAAAAUAGCUUGUAAAUAGUAAUAAAUUAAUUAUAGAGUGUAGAUUAUAGUUCAUAGAUUAAUGAAAAAUAGAUUGUAAAUAUUAAUACAUGGAUUAUAAAUUGUAGAUUCAGUUAUAGUUCAUAGAUUAACGAAAAAUAAAUUGUAAAUGAUACAUAGAUUAUAGAUUGUAGACUAUAGUCCAUAGAUUAACGAAAAAUAGAUUGUAAAUAUUAGUACAUAGAUUAUAGAUUGUAGAUUAUAGUUUAUAGAUUAACGAAAAUAGAUUGUAAAUAUUAAUACAUAGAUUAUAGAUUGUAGAUUAUAGUUUAUAGAUUAACGAAAAAUAGAUUGUAAAUAUUAAUACAUAGAUUAUAAAUUGUAGAUUCAGUUAUAGCUCAUAGAUUAACGAAAAAUAGAUUGUAAAUAAUACAUAGAUUAUAGAUUGUAGACUAGUUCAUAGAUUAACGAAAAAUAGAUUGUAAAUAUUAAUACAUAGAUUAUAGAUUGUAGAUUAUAGUUUAUAGAUUAACGAAAAAUCGAUUGCAAAUAUUAAUACAUAGAUUAUAGAUUGUAGAUUAUAGUUUAUAGAUUAACGAAAAAUAGAUUGUAAAUAUUAAUACAUUGAUUAUAGAUUGUAGAUUACAGUUUAUAGAUUAACGAAAAAUAGGUUGUAAAUAUUGAUACAUUGAUUAUAGAUUUUAGGCUAUAGAUCAUAGAUUAUAGAUUGUAAAAAUACUUUAAAAUUACUUCAUCAGUAACGUUUGGAUGAAGGACUUUAUACAAAUAAUGGGAUAUUCAUGAGAUCACUGUGACUGACUCAUGACUUUUUGGAUAUUAUUAAGUUUAAAAUUAGGGAAGCCAACUCACCACGAGAUAAUCUAUGUCUUUAGAUACAAGUUUCUUUCAUGGCCGGUGAGCUUUCUCAUGCAUCGCAAGCUGCAUGCCAGUAAGUAAGUAAGUAAAACAUUUAUUUAAUCACGAUAAGGAUUUAAGCUUUACAGCUUGUGGGAUCCUUAGUAGAUAAAUAAAUUAAAUAAAUUGAAUAUGUGAAUGAACAAUAGUUACAGGAUAAGGCUCAAGAAACCUGAGUACAAACGUGAAAAGGACAUUGUCACAACAUAAAAUUCUAUCUGAACUAUAUUUGUAGUUGAUACAUAACUAAUAAUUGAUAAUGUUAUUUAGCUAAAAACUUCUCAUAAGGAGCAAAUACUUUCUACAGUAUAAGUUGGCAAAGUCAAUGUCCUUGACCAAGUACCUAUCUUAAAGUAACUAGUAUACAAUCCUUAGUUUCUUUUGCUUACCUAGUUUAGGUGACGUUGUAACUGUUGAGUAAGGGCCGAACGACUUAAGUUGGUGUUAUUUUGUUGUUGUUCUAUUUCGCAGCCAUCUAAGCACUUGCCGUAAUACUUUUCGUUCCGCUUACCUCUCUACUAACUUGCUUAUUCUAACACACCUACCUAGCUAUCUAUCUUCCGAUCUACCUACCUACUUUCCUACUGCUUGUCCAGUCAUCUACCUAGAGGUCUACCUAUCCGCUGGCCUAACAAUCUAUCUAUGCACCUUCCCACCUAUCCGUCCACCGUACUUAUGGGUUGAGAGAGCACGGUGUCUUGCCCCACAACACUAGUAAAGACUUUAACAAGUUCCGACGACGACCCCCUACCCCUUCUGAUAAUAGUACCUGAACCUUUUUCUCAACUGACUCACGGCUCGAAAUAUGACGCCAGUAGAGGGGCGCAAAGACCGCACUUAGCUCUGCCGAGAAAUGGUGGAAAAUUCGAGCACCACCAAUUCCAUAAUUUCUGUUUCCUAUGCGGUCUGAAGUGAACAUAGUCAUAUAAUGAUGGCUAAUCUGUAGCGACUAUUUGAGCACAAACUCAGUUGCUCUGUCCCUUAUUACAGUACUGCUAUUACAGUAGACUGUGAGUCGUCUCUCUUUUCCUCGAAAACCGUGGGGAAGAACGCAAAACAAGUAAGCGUGCGAGCGUGGCUGUUAGCGUGACUAGUAGCGCGGGCGUCUUCUUCACAGCGAUGUCGCGAGCCGCUAGUGACGCGGGCGUCGGAAGUGCUGCCAUGUCAAUCGACCCAUACCUCUUUUCGCCCCUGUUGCCUCUCCAUCCGCCCGACUAUUAAACAAGAAAGUGAAGUUAUAUACUCCUAGUGCUUGCUACAACGGUUUAAGGUAAAACAAGAAGAUUCUUGCCCUUUAUCAUUACGCUAUAUUUUUAGUAUCUAUAAGUCGUUUUGUGAAGAAAGUAACAUCGACGAAGGAAAUUAAAUUAUAUGUAUCAUUAAAAGUACAGCUAUGAAAUCCUGGACAUUCUGAGAAUGGCAGGGAAAAUUACGGUUGAAGCCGGUAAGAAAAAGACAAAAGAGGUGUAAGUAAAUGAAAACAAAGCGUAAGCAUUAUUGAUAUUCGGAAGGAUUGAGACAGAUUACAAACAACAAACUUAAAUAACCUCCUUUCCAGGCAUUUUCUUGAAAUUCAAGGGAAAAAUGCCCCGAGAAUGAGGUCAUAAACUUUACACGCUUUGCUUGAUUUUUCAGUUUAUGCCAUGCGCUACAAAGCUCCUUUAAUACUCAUUGAGAACUUGCACGGACAGUUCUUUGGUGCUGUGUAUUUAUCUCGCAAAAAUGAUAUAUAACAGAUGUUAAUCAAAAAAAUUCUAAAAAAUUUUUUUAAUAAGGAAAGGGUGAAUAUAACUGUCAUAUUUGUAGGCAGGUUUUCAAACAUGGAUUUACUUCUAUCCGCAAUGGGUCAUAAAAUUGUGUGUUUUUUCGUAAGAUGAACUUCAGGACUUGAUAAACCAAACAAUUAACAAGAGAUCAUAAUUUACUCCUUUAGUUUGCAUUUCUGAAAGCCAUUAUAACAAAUAUGAUGUCAUUAAAAAAAUUUCAAGAAAAGGUAAUUGCAGUUUGUAUUGUAUAAUGAUCGAUUUUUACAUCAAAUAUUAAUUACCAGCCUGAACAUAGCACGAAAUGUUUUCUGCGUUGUUUAAUUUCCUUUGAGAGGGUCCUCCGUCAGACAAGUCGUUUUAUUUGUGUGAAAAAUACAAAAACCAUGAUUUCUUUGUCGGUCACAUUUUUCAUCUGCUUUCGCAUCCUAUUUUCAGUAGCAUUCAUUGGUUUCACGUUCAAUGACAGACUCCUUCCAAACAAGACUUUUGAAAGCUUUUCUACAAUCGAUUGGUUGCAGUGUGUCAAGGCUUGCCAGGCAAGUCCCAGAUGUAUUUCCUACAACUAUGACGUCUGCAACGACAAAUCGUGUUUUUUGAACGAGUGUGGAUUUUGCGAUCGUUGCGAAGCUCUCAGAAACCUUGUCGUGUCACCUGGAGCCAUAUUCCAUCAGUUAAAGAAGGUACUUAAUAACUCAUUCUGCUCGUUUCAGUCACCGGCUGAAACAAAACUUAUUAUUUGGUAUAUACAAACAAAACUACUCAUUCUAUACAACUUGCAAUGGAACUGUGAAGAUUCAGAUGAUUAAUUGGAAGUUAGACGAUUUCAUGCUUUACAGCAGCAUGCACUAAGUUGCGUCAGUAGAUUCAUUUUACGUCGCAAUACAUUGCGAAUCAAACCUGUAGAGAAAAAAGUCGCUAAUAAUAAUGUUUUGACUGAAAUCAGUUAACAGUUUCUUACCCUAGAUUAUGCGGAUUAUUUUGUGUGUCGAUGACAAGAUUUUUACUUUUUUGUUAAGUCUUAAGUAUCUUAAAGGUAGUCCCUAUUGGCUUCCUUGCCUUAUACAUUGGUACUCUGCAAAUGUAUUUAUGAAUGGCAAAAAUACAUGUAAAACAAACAAACGGACACGCGCGAGACAAAACCAUUUCACCAACGCUGAAUUAUCGCUUUACCGUUUUCGUGUCCAUUUGUUGUUGACUUCAAAUACGUUUGGUGCAGUUUGCCUGAAUUUAAUUAAAUUUUUGCCAUUUUGAUUUGGUCUUAUGCUAGUUUAAGACAAAAUUUCGUAAUUCAGUUAUUUGGUCACUUUGUGUCUAAGGCACUUUGAAAUUUGGAUCCGAAGAACAAAAAACGAUCUUUUUAGACAAUUCAUCCAGCUCUUUCUCUUUCAUAAAAUCAUUCAGUUACACCAAUAACUGUGAAAAAUGAACAAAGCCUUGAUGAUAAUACUACUGCUCCUGAUAAUCUUUGUCCUUUUUAAUUAUAAUUAAAGGACAUUAAUGCAUAGUAUAAGACUUAACGAUUUUAAAAUGAGUGUUGAAUGUUUGUAGUCUUUUCUCUUGAGCCUAGUUCACACUAGCGACAUAACGACA
rnacentral:lncRNA from 1 species